rnacentral:rRNA from 1 species
CGCCUGGGGAGUACGGCCGCAAGGUUAAAACUCAAAUGAAUUGACGGGGGCCCGCACAAGCGGUGGAGCAUGUGGUUUAAUUCGACGCAACGCGAAGAACCUUACCUGGCCUUGACAUCCAGAGAGCUUUCCAGAGAUGGAUUGGUGCCUUCGGGAACUCUGAGACAGGUGCUGCAUGGCCGUCGUCAGCUCGUGUCGUGAGAUGUUGGGUUAAGUCCCGUAACGAGCGCAACCCCUAUCCCUGGUUGCUAGCAGGUAAUGCUGAGAACUCCAGGGAGACUGCCGGUGACAAACCGGAGGAAGGUGGGGAUGACGUCAGGUCAUCAUGGCCCUUACGGCCGGGGCUACACACGUGCUACAAUGGCGCGUACAGAGGGCUGCCAACUCGCGAGAGUGAGCCAAUCCCUUAAAACGCGUCGUAGUCCGGAUCGGAGUCUGCAACUCGACUCCGUGAAGUCGGAAUCGCUAGUAAUCGCGAAUCAGAAUGUCGCGGUGAAUACGUUCCCGGGCCUUGUACACACCGCCCGUCACACCAUGGGAGUGGAUUGCACCAGAAGUAGUUAGUCUAACCUUCGGGAGGACGAUUACCACGGUGUGGUUCAUGACUGGGGUGAAGUCGUAACAAGGUAACCGUA